GGCCUGUUGGGGGGAAAUAAAAUGAAUGUGGGUGUCAAUUCCGGCAGCCGUCAGAAUCAAAUGCUCGCCAGAAAUAACAUCGGUACUCACCCCUACAAUCAUGCCCGGCGUUACCCCGUCCAUCACGCCCGGGUUGCCGCUUUUGCCAAUACCGGCGAUGUUUCCAUCCCUGAUACCCACGUCAGCCUUGAUCACACCCAGCCGGGCAUCAAGGAGGGUGACGUUGGUAAUCACCAGAUCCAGCACCCCGCUGCCGCGGGUCAGAUCGUUAUUGGCACCCAUACCAUCACGC
rnacentral:sRNA from 1 species